UUGAUAAUAAUAAAUUUGUUAAAUUUUUUUGACUUUUUUUUUUUUGUCCUGCACCUGAGCCCUGUGUGGGUUUGUGGGAUGUGCGCAACUAUCUUAC